GUGUGAGAGACCCGUCCCGGUGGGAGGGACCUGGGCUGGGGGGGACGGUGGGGGAACAAGGGGGUGGGACUGGGGAAGCUUCUGAGAACAUUUGCCCUAGGUAUUCAGCUAAACUAAGAAAAAUUGGUCCAAGGCUCGGCACAAAAGGAUCUUUUCAUUCCAGUCCUUUCGCCCACGCAGGGAACGAUGCCUCUGGAGGUGGUGGUGGAGCUGCAGAUCCGGGCGAUUUCUUGCCCAGGAGUGUUCCUGCCUGGCAAACAAGAUGUGUACCUCGGGGUCUACCUCAUGAAUCAGUACCUGGAGACAAACAGCUUUCCCUCUGCGUUCCCCAUUAUGAUUCAGGAGAGCAUGAGAUUUGAAAAGUGUGGGAUGAGUUGGCCUACUAUGAAGAAAACACACGAGAUUUUCUUUUCCCAGAGCCCAAGCUGACACCUUCGCACCCUAGGAGGUGUAGGGAGGUGCUCAUGAAGACGGCUCUGGGUUUUCCA
rnacentral:sRNA from 1 species